GAAAGCAAGAGGGAAGCAUGAGGCGGGCAGGGCCCCUGUGAGAGCCAAGCAGGCCAGCGGGAGGCUGGGAGGGCGAGGUCCUCACCCCUCAGAGGAAACUGCUCCCCUCAUUGCCUGCCCAAGCCUUGCAAGGCCGGCUCUGUCAUCUCUAAUGGCCCGGGGCCCCGGGGGCCUGUGGAGCUUAGAGCAUUUUCUAGAAUGCUUGUACACACCAUGAAGAGCUGUCCGGCGGAAGCGGUGGGCAGACGGCCACGCAAAUGGAUGCUGAAGUGACCAGCUCCUUCCUGCUUGCGUGUUCUGGACCUGGUCCUGGAUCUGGCCUCUGGGUGCACAGGUCCCAGAACAUUCCUCCAGACCGCUGCUGGCGCCUUCCUCCACGGCCACUGCCUGCUCCCAGACACGGUCCAUCCAGGGUGCCUCCCCUGCCCUGCCCGGCCAUCUCCCGCUAGAAUGCCGGCUCCCCGGGCAGGGACCCGGGUGUCUGCAGCAGGGCCGGGCCCACAGGACGCCUCCGUCCGUGGCCGGGGGACACAGAGGUUCGGCGCCCUGCGACGUCCCCCUUCAGCACCAUCGGAGACUCAUAAAGCCUGAAAAAACUUGAGGGAAGCAGCCUUCCCCCAGUUUCCAUGCUUCCCCAAAAUUCUAUUGCCUCCUUCGAGAGCGAGUUAGCCGUCUAUUUCCUGAUGUUUCUUUACCGAUCAGAGGUGGGCUGGAGCAGUUACAGGAGGUGGGCGCUGUCACCCCCAUUCUAAGAGAAAGAAACUCAACGGGGGAAGUGAUUUCUCCAGCGGCACAGCUCUAGGAAUCCCUGCAAGAUGGUCUGACUCCAGGGCUGGUCUAGGGGACGCAAAGCUGGCAGGUGCCCCCGGAGUGAGUCCCAGGCUCCUGUAGCCCACACAGCCUCAGCUCUGUGGAAACUGAGCUGCAACCCUCCAGGGCCACGGGAUCGUUUCAGCAGGUGACCGCCAUCACUGAGAAGACUCGAAACAAGGGGCCUCCGGGCCUUUGUUCUCCGAACAAGAACACCAGUGCUGGGCACAGGACAGGAGCCAGGACGUGCUGGAGGGUUUCCGCUCUGUGCCCCCACCCGCACACCAAUGGGGCUGGCGCAGCAAGGUGGCGGCACCGCUGUGUGGGGUCCGAGAGGUCGGGGUGUUGAGAUUUGACUGCGAUCCCACGGGCUUCCUCACCUGUAGGCCAGGGUGCUCAGGAGGUCCCCAAACCAAGGCCCAGGCUGGCCUGUUCUGAGAGGCACAGAACCCCAUGUGGUUAUGGGGGGCUGGCAGCGUGAGAGCCCUUCCAGUCCCUGAGCCAGUGUUGGUGGCCGAGGAGAGUGUCUCGGGGAGCAGAGGGAUGUCAGGGUAAUGACACUGGCAGGGGCCAAGAAAUGCCCGGCUGGACUGGGAGGCCUGUCAGGGGAAGCCGCCUGAGCUCUCUCCUGCCAGCAACGGGCCCCUGGAGGAAGGCUUUUGGGGUUAUCAGAUUUGUUUUCCAAUCGGGAGCUAACUCUGGCUGGAGUGUGUGGCUGGCCCCCCUGGAUCUGCUGGGCUUCCUGCAGAUGGUCCCAGCACAGAGCCCCACAUAGGGGGCACAAAGCCUGGGGUCUUCAGACGGACCCUCCCUCCCGGGCCGGGCAUCCCUCUUCCCCUCCCCUCCCCCAAGGCACUCACACUGCCUUCUUUCGUCCAACAUGGCCAUGUCGAUUUAAGGUCUCCAAGGCCAGAGGCCAGCUGUCUACUUUUCUAAACAUCACGGAGUGUUCUGGAUAUUCAAAACACGUGAGUUGGCUGUUUUGCCCCUUGGAGAGCGUCAGGGGCCCACUCCCAUGGGGAAGGCUGGGGGGAUUCUCAGACCACCUUUGCAGGGGCCUCUUCGUGGCCGUGAAGCCUUCGUUCCCCUCCUGGGAAUGGGCCUCUGGUUGGGGCAAUUCGAGACACCUUGAAACGGUCAGUCGUAAUAAACAGGCACAAAACAAACUGGCAUCCCGGCAGAGGCCUCAGCCCUUUUCUGUCCUGGCUGGAUUUCCCGUCGGCCGUGCGGGUGGACCCAAGUGCUACGAAAGGGACCGUAGUUUUCCCAGGGAGACAGAACCAAACAAAGAUGGAAACAAACAAACAAAAAACCCCAAACACUCUCACACACCCCUAAAUCCAACUACGUAAUCGGGCCUGAGGUUGGACGCUCUGUCACCUUUGUGGGAUGCAAACAAAUAUGUCCCCUAGAUGGCCCGCUCUUCAGACUACGGGCUGCCCCUGUGACAAAGAAGCCUGGGGGCUUCUCUGAUCCUAAGUUUUGCUCCAGACUUUGGUUCCUUUUGGCUAUGCGUGUGAAAAUGACAAAGGGGUCCCAGUCACGUCACUGAGCGGGUCAGCACGGAGUGUUUAAAGGAGAGAAAAGGUUGUAAAAUGGAGAGGGUCCUCCAGAUGGGACCACGACACGGUGGGGCAGGUGUGGGUCCGGCUUGCACAGUCCGGGGCCCCUCCCCCACUGCAGGUGCAGAGGGGACCUGUCUGGCUCGUGACAUCACCCGUGUCAGAACUAUAAGGGCCGAGCUGUGUCUGCAGACUGUCCCCGUGUACCUAGAGCCUCGCUUCACAACAAGCCGUUCCCGUCCAGCGGCAUUGCCCCCUCAGAGGGCGGCCAGUUUCCCAGUGUCAACAAAACCAUAUGAUCCCCUCUCGUGUUCAGUUUAAAGGUUAUUCCUAAAAAGCGGCAGUUGACGUUAUUUCUGAUUUUUUGAGACUCAAAAAAUUAUUUACCAGGAACACACAAAUUGUUUGUUUUACUCUCUGCUACUUGCUCAUUGACAGAAGAUCACUGGAGAAGAGCAAAUGGAAGAUGAGCCUUAAAAACUGUUUUUUUUUUUUUUUUUUUACAGCCAUUGGGGUUACUGACAUUAGAACAUUUGCCGUUUUAAACAAACGCAAGGUCACUCAGUCUGUUACAGACUAGUUAAAUAGUACUGUUUUGUACAAAACAAAAACAGAUAUUCCUUUGGUUAAAAAAAAAAUUGAUGACUUUUCCUGCGCCACGUUUAUGUCAAGUGGAAGACGAUUCUAAUUUUAUCUGUGUUCAAUAGGCAGAUUAAAGCAAAUCAUGAGGCUGAUGCUGUUUACAAUUCUCUGAGCAGCUGAAGGAAAGAAAAUCACCUUGAAUCUAGCAUUUUCUGAGCCCACUAAAAGAGCCAGGUCCCUCAGACCAUCUGGGAAGGAAUGGAUCCCAUCCAUGUGUUAGUUUAAUAUGAAAUUGUUUUAUUUUGACUCUAUUUUCCUUCAGGCUAUUAGGGAGGAAAAGAAAAAAAAAAUAGGAGAGUGGGAGAAAGGCUUUGGUUCCUCACCAUUUUCUCUGCGGGGCUCUCGGUUUCUCCGCUUUGGCUUUUUCAAUGCUUUACUUCUUUGGGUUAAAAAAAUGUACAAAAUGUAUAUUGUAAGUAUAAAAAAAUAAUAUAUUUUGAACGUGACAAAAUUUUAGAUCCACAAUACACUCUGGCAAAAAUAUUAUUAAAAAAUACCGUUUGCUUUCACUCCGCCUCAACUGAAAUGUCAUUCUUUUUUUCAUAUUUUCUGAUCUGUUCAGUCUGACAUUUGUUGGAUGUGAGAUAGUUCUGUAGACUAUUCCAGAAAUAUUGGAAAAAAAGUAAACCACC